UGUUGUCUCUGCUCAGAGUUCAGGAGCCUUGUCCCUUCCGUGAGCUCUGAGUCUGGUUACCCACAUUAAUACCAGCUCUUCAGUCACGGGACGGCUCCUGCAGAACUCUCCUUCCAAGAAAUGAAUCCUUUUCUCCCUCAGAGACUUUCACCAGGAUUCACUGCAACACCUUGGACGGGAAGUUGCCUGCAGAUUCGGUGGCCACAACGAUCUAACUCUUCCUGGAUGUUCUCUGCUAACCAGGCCCAGGAAGGGGAGACUGAAGGCUUGGCAGGUUUUGAGAAACUGUACAGAGGCAU